CCCCCGCCUGCGGACGCGCCGCACGGGGCAGGUGCCCGGUUCACCGCGCGCCGCGGGCGGGGCUGGAGCUCUGCGGCGGAGCGUACCCGCCCGGAGCCCGGAAUCGGGCGCGGGGAAGCCGAGGGUACCACGGACCUCCCGGCGACUUGGGCGAGUGUACACGGCACAGAUCAUCCAGGAAAAACAGAAGAUAGUCUUAGAGGAACUCAAUCAAAAUGCUGACUUAUUUGAGGAUGGCUUCUGUGUUGCAGUAUAGACAGAAGUUAAGAAACAAUGGUUCUGAAAUCAGAAACAUCUGCAUUCUGGUCUGCUACCUGCCACUUAAUAGCUGAAUGAGUUGGGUAAGCCGCUUCUUUCUUUUUUUUUUUUUUUAAAGAUUUUAUUUAUUUAUUCAUGAGAGACACACACAGAGAGAGGGAGAGACAUA
rnacentral:lncRNA from 1 species